rfam:Nematostella vectensis strain CH2 x CH6 NEMVEscaffold_159_Cont16285, whole genome shotgun sequence.
AGCUUUGCGCAGUGGCAUUACCGUAGCUGAUGAGGUCCAUCCGAGGCGCGGUUAUUGCUGAUUGAAAACUUUUCCCAAUACCCCGCGAGACGACUUGAAACAUAGUCGGCUUUGCAAUUUUUGUGGGCCCUAUUUAUGG